rnacentral:rRNA from 1 species
AACGAACGCUGGCGGCAUGCUUAACACAUGCAAGUCGAACGGAAAGGCCCGGCUUUGUGGCGGACCUGGAGUUGCGAAGGGGUAAGUAACCCGUAGGUACGCUGUCCUUGCCUGUGGGGUAUGUUCAUGAAGGUGGGGCUAUUACGGCAUAGGAGUUCUCGCUGCUGGGUGGGGGCGGGAAGGUUUCGGCGGUUGGGGGUGGAAUAGCGGCCCAUGAGCUUGUUGGUGGGGUAGUGGCUGAGCAUGGCUUUGCCGGGUAGCCGGGCUGAGCGGGUGACCGGCCACAUUGGGACUGGGAUACGGCCCAGACUCGUACGGGAGGCAGCGGUGGGGAAUAUUGCACAAUGGGCGGAAGCCUGAUGCAGCAACGCCACGUGGGGGAUGACGGCCUUCGGGUUGUAAACCGCUUUCGCCUGUGACGAAGCGUGAGUGACGGUAAUGGGUAAAGAAGCACCGGCUAACUACGUG